rnacentral:rRNA from 1 species
GAUGAACGCUGGCGGCGUGCCUAAUACAUGCAAGUCGAGCGAAUGGAUUAAGAGCUUGCUCUUAUGAAGUUAGCGGCGGACGGGUGAGUAACACGUGGGUAACCUGCCCAUAAGACUGGGAUAACUCCGGGAAACCGGGGCUAAUACCGGAUAACAUCUUGAACCGCAUGGUUCUAAAUUGAAAGGCGGCUUCGGCUGUCACUUAUGGAUGGACCCGCGUCGCAUUAGCUAGUUGGUGAGGUAACGGCUCACCAAGGCAACGAUGCGUAGCCGACCUGAGAGGGUGAUCGGCCACACUGGGACUGAGACACGGCCCAGACUCCUACGGGAGGCAGCAGUAGGGAAUCUUCCGCAAUGGACGAAAGUCUGACGGAGCAACGCCGCGUGAGUGAUGAAGGCUUUCGGGUCGUAAAACUCUGUUGUUAGGGAAGAACAAGUGCUAGUUGAAUGAGCUGGCACCUUGACGGUACCUAACCAGAAAGCCACGGCUAACUACGUGCCAGCCGCCGCCGUAA